GGGGCUGUAGUAGGUCCCAAGGGUUGGGCUGUUCGCCCAUUAAAGUGGUACGCGAGCUGGGUUCAGAACGUCGUGAGACAGUUCGGUCCCUAUCCGUCGCAGGCGUAGGAAAUUUGAGAAGACCUGUCCUUAGUACGAGAGGACCGGGAUGGACGUACCUCUGGUGUACCAGUUGUUCUGCCAAGGGCAUGGCUGGGUAGCUAUGUGCGGAAUGGAUAAGCGCUGAAAGCAUCUAAGCGCGAAGCCAACUUCAAGAUAAGAUUUCCCACCGCAAGGGUAAGACCCCAGAAAGACUAUCUGGUUGAUAGGUCGAAGGUGUAAGUGCAGCAAUGUAUUUAGCUUAUCGAUACUAAUAGGUCGAGGACUUGACCAA
rnacentral:rRNA from 1 species